GCUGUCUGAGAUCCUCCAGCACUGGUACAACCUUCUCUCAGAAUGAGAGGGACACUUUGUACCGCACAGAUGAUCCUGAUGAUCAGCAGCAUUAGAAGACAAACGGCAUAACUGUGCUCAGAGCUGCAUGCGGAUAGCAAUCAAUUGACCUGGAGAGCAGGUGGAAUCAGGAAACCAUCUAGAACAUUGUAGAGGUGAAUAACUGAAGUCUCCUGCAUCUUUCUUCACUAUACAGCUGAUAUCAUCGGAAUAUGUACUGAGAGGCAUGUCAGAUUUGCCCUUCACAAUGUACUUUUUUUAAAACACUGCAAAUAAAUAAGCAUGGUGUGCAUAAAGUGCCAUUUAUUUUUUAGGUAAUUUAACAUACCUGUGCUUUUUAUUCUGCGAUGAAUCAGUGACAGUGUUGG